rnacentral:lncRNA from 1 species
CUUUAAAUUAGACGAUCGGAGAAGGCUGAGGGAAUUGCUAUGAAGGGGCGGGAGCUGAAGUGUAGAGGACUCCUUUAGACAGCAGAAAGGGAAAGCCGUUGAGAAGUUCCCUUCAAACUCCACCUGCCUCCUCUCCAAUUCAAACUCCACUCCCUUCUCCAAAAGUUAAAAGGAAAGCCAAGUUUGCCACGCUCCCCUGUUCCUACUCAAUAAAUACUUCUUCUACUCCGCCACCGGGAAAACAGAAAAAAAAACUAAUUUCCUUCCCAAUAUUAGGACUUAGAAAAGCUCUAGGUCCCGCAAUUUGAAUUUUAGCCUAGGGGAAUCAAAAUAGUAGGAGCAUUACUCUUGUUUCCUUUUUCAAAAUCCCACACCUCAUCCUUCCUGCGACGCCAUGUCUACCAACAUUUGUAGUUUCAAGGACAGGUGCGUGUCCAUCCUGUGUUGCAAAUUCUGUAAACAAGUGCUCAGCUCUAGGGGAAUGAAGGCUGUUUUGCUGGCUGAUACUGAAAUAGACCUUUUCUCUACAGACAUCCCUCCUACCAAGUAAGUCAUGCUAGUGGCGGGCAACGGUAGCUUUUAACUAAAUGGGAACACUUAUGGCUUGGAUCUGUGGGAGUCAACAAGGAGGUUAUCAUUUCGGUGUUUCAGCCACUCCCACCAGUUUGAUGAUCCCCUUGGAAUAUAUCUAAGUGGGCAGACUGUCUGGACAAAGUCUGUGGUUUAGCCAAGGUGGUCAGUCCUGAUGUAAUGCUUCUAGUUCAAUUGCAGUCAUGCGACCACACAUCUCUUAAGUUUGAUCCCUGGUUCAGUGCCCUGCCCAACCAUCCUAUUUCACUGAAUCAAGUCCGUGGCGUAGACUUUAGGUAAAUUCAGGCAAAAUUUUCCGUACUGUUGGAGAGGAGAGGUCAUUUAAGUUUUUCAUUUUUAUCCAUGAAAUUUUGCACCAAAAAAAAAAAAAUCCGUUUUCUAUCAUUAUUUGCAAUUGGCAUCCUAAAUCAGAUCCGUUGUUCAUCAAAUUCAGUUUUCUUUCCUCAAAACUCUCUCUCUCUGAAAGAGAUGUAAAUAGAUUUUUAUGGGAUGAAAAAUAGAGACUUAGCCUUAAUCCUUAUCUCCAAUAAAGACUAUUUUGGACAUUA